rnacentral:rRNA from 2 species
GGCACCACCAGGAGUGGAGCCUGCGGCUUAAUUUGACUCAACACGGGGAAACUCACCAGGUCCAGAUACACGUAGGAUUGACAGAUUGAGAGCUCUUUCUUGAUUGUGUAGUUGGUGGUGCAUGGCCGUUCUUAGUUGGUGGAGUGAUUUGUCUGCUUAAUUGCGAUAACGAACGAGACCUUCAUCGUUAACUAGCCCGGCUCGCCUUGGCGGGUCGCCGGCUUCUUAGCGAGACUUUUGGCUUAAGCCAAAGGAAGUUGGAGGCAAUAACAGGUCUGUGAUGCCCUUAGAUGUUCUGGGCUGCACGCGCGCUACACUGACAGAGGCAACGAGUUUUUUUUCCUUGGCCGGAAGGUCUGGGUAAUCUUGGUAAACUCUGUCGUGCUGGGGAUAGAACAUUGCAAUUAUUGUUCUUCAACGAGGAAUGCCUAGUAAGCGCGUGUCAUCAGCAUGCGUUGAUUACGUCCCUGCCCUUUGUACACACCGCCCGUCGCUACUACCGAUUGAAUGGCUCAGUGAGGUCUCCGGACUGGCUCAGGGAGGUUGGCAACGACCACCCCGGGCCGGGAAGCUGAUCAAACUUGGUCAUUUAGAGGAAGUAAAAGUCGUAACAAGGUUUCCGUAGGUGAACCUGCGGAAGGAUCAUUA